rnacentral:rRNA from 1 species
UGGGGAAUUUUGGACAAUGGGGGAAACCCUGAUCCAGCCAUCCCGCGUGUGCGAUGAAGGCCUUCGGGUUGUAAAGCACUUUUGGCAGGAAAGAAACGUCGCGGGUUAAUACCCCGCGAAACUGACGGUACCUGCAGAAUAAGCACCGGCUAACUACGUGCCAGCAGCCGCGGUAAUACGUAGGGUGCAAGCGUUAAUCGGAAUUACUGGGCGUAAAGCGUGCGCAGGCGGUUCGGAAAGAAAGAUGUGAAAUCCCAGAGCUUAACUUUGGAACUGCAUUUUUAACUACCGGGCUAGAGUGUGUCAGAGGGAGGUGGAAUUCCGCGUGUAGCAGUGAAAUGCGUAGAUAUGCGGAGGAACGCCGAUGGCGAAGGCAGCCUCCUGGGAUAACACUGACGCUCAUGCACGAAAGCGUGGGGAGCAAACAGGAUUAGAUACCCUGGUAGUCCACGCCCUAAACGAUGUCAACUAGCUGUUGGGGCCUUCGGGCCUUGGUAGCGCAGCUAACGCGUGAAGUUGACCGCCUGGGGAGUACGGUCGCAAGAUUAAAACUUAAAUGAAUUGACGGGGUCAUAGCUGUUUCCU